UACGAAGGGGGCUAGCGUUGCUCGGAAUUACUGGGCGUAAAGGGCGCGUAGGCGGACAUUUAAGUCAGGGGUGAAAUCCCAGAGCCCAACUCUGGAACUGCCUUUGAUACUGGGUGUCUUGAGUGUGAGAGAGGUAUGUGGAACUCCGAGUGUAGAGGUGAAAUUCGUAGAUAUUCGGAAGAACACCAGUGGCGAAGGCGACAUACUGGCUCAUUACUGACGCUGAGGCGCGAAAGCGUGGGGAGCAAACAGG
rnacentral:rRNA from 1 species